rnacentral:rRNA from 1 species
CACGUAGGGCGCAAGCGUUGUCCGGAAUUAUUGGGCGUAAAGAGCUCGUAGGCGGUCUGUUGCGUCCGCUGUGAAAACUCGGGGCUUAACCCCGAGCCUGCAGUGGAUACGGGCAGACUAGAGGUAGGUAGGGGAGAAUGGAAUUCCUGGUGUAGCGGUGAAAUGCGCAGAUAUCAGGAGGAACACCAAUUGCGAAGGCAGCUCGCUGGAACGUAACUGACGCUGAGACGCGAAAGCGUGGGGAGCAAACAGG